GAUGAACGCUGGCGGCGUGCCUAAUACAUGCAAGUCGAGCGAACGGACGAGAAGCUUGCUUUUCUGAUGUUAGCGGCGGACGGGUGAGUAACACGUGGAUAACCUACCUAUAAGACUGGGAUAACUUCGGGAAACCGGAGCUAAUACCGGAUAAUAUUUUGAACCGCAUGGUUCAAAAGUGAAAGAUGGUCUUGCUGUCACUUAUAGAUGGAUCCGCGCUGCAUUAGCUAGUUGGUAAGGUAACGGCUUACCAAGGCGACGAUGCAUAGCCGACCUGAGAGGGUGAUCGGCCACACUGGAACUGAGACACGGUCCAGACUCCUACGGGAGGCAGCAGUAGGGAAUCUUCCGCAAUGGGCGAAAGCCUGACGGAGCAACGCCGCGUGAGUGAUGAAGGUCUUCGGAUCGUAAAACUCUGUUAUUAGGGAAGAACAUAUGUGUAAGUAACUGUGCACAUCUUGACGGUACCUAAUCAGAAAGCCACGGCUAACUACGUG
rnacentral:rRNA from 1 species